CAAUAUUAUCAGUUGUUCGAAGACUCUGAAUCCCUUGUUAGAAGACAUUAGAAAGUAGAAACUAGAAACUUGAAAAUAACUUUGUAGACUGAACCAGUAGACUGGCCAGUCUAACUAUUGAACUGACCGGUUCACCAGUUCUUUGUUGAUUCAAGUACCUAUCAUUUAUUGAAUCGGAUCAGAAUAGGCACUGGUUCACUGGUUGAACCGGCUGUUCAGGUCCGGUUCUAACACCACUGCUCCAUAUACUUUUUCUUAAUCAAGCUAAUUUUAAAAUGUUUAAAUUAUAGAGCAUCCCUCCAAAGUUCUAACUUUGUGUUGAUGUCUCUAGUUUCAUCAAUCAAAACUGUGAUCCACAAACAACAAACACCAUGGUACCUCAUGUUGUAGAUGACUCUAGUGAACUCAUCCAUAAUAAAAACAAAGAGAUAUGGGCUCAACGUUGAAUCCUGAUAUAGG
rnacentral:lncRNA from 1 species